UGCAGUCGAACGAGAUCCUUGGCAAAGCUUGCUUUGCUAAGUCUAGUGGCGAACGGGUGAGUAACACGUGAGCAACCUGCCCAGAUGUGGGGGAUAAUCAGCCGAAAGGUUGUCUAAUACCCUAUGUGAUUACAAGAGACAUCUCUUGUGGAUUAAAGCGGGGGCCUUUAAGGCCUCGCACUUCUGGAUGGGCUCGCGGCCUAUCAGCUAGUUGGUGAGGUAACGGCUUACCAAGGCGACGACGGGUAGCUGGUCUGAGAGGAUGACCAGUCACACUGGAACUGAGACACGGUCCAGACUCCUACGGGAGGCAGCAGUGGGGAAUAUUGCACAAUGGGCGCAAGCCUGAUGCAGCCAUGCCGCGUGUAUGAAGAAGGCCUUCGGGUUGUAAAGUACUUUCAGUUGUGAGGAAGGGGGUAACGUUAAUAGCGUUAUCUCUUGACGUUAGCAACAGAAGAAGCACCGGCUAACUCCGUGCCAGCAGCCGCGGUAAUACGGAGGGUGCGAGCGUUAAUCGGAAUUACUGGGCGUAAAGCGCAUGCAGGUGGUUCAUUAAGUCAGAUGUGAAAGCCCGGGGCUCAACCUCGGAACUGCAUUUGAAACUGGUGAACUAGAGUACUGUAGAGGGGGGUAGAAUUUCAGGUGUAGCGGUGAAAUGCGUAGAGAUCUGAAGGAAUACCAGUGGCGAAGGCGGCCCCCUGGACAGAUACUGACACUCA
rnacentral:rRNA from 1 species